UACUAUGACGAUAUGUUCAUACAAUGCCAUUUUUAUUAACAUAUAUGCCAAAUUUAAUGAAAUAGAAUUGAAAAUGUGUGUCGCCAGGUACCAAGUAAGAAAAAAAUCAGCAUUUUUAUGUAGGGUCUUCACACGGUAAAAUUAUUUGUGCCCAAAUAAUAAUAGAUGAAUGCAUAUUAGGCUUCAAUGUUGCUUAUACUAUGACUACUGGUUCAUACGAUGCCAUUUUUAUAAAUAUCUAUGCCAAAUUUAAUGAAAUAGACUUGAAAAUGUGUGUCGCCAGGUACCAAGUAAGAAAGAAAUCAGCAUUUUUAUGUAGGGUCUUCACACAGUAAAAUUAUUUGUGCCCAAUUAAUAAUAGAUGAAUGCAUAUUAGGCUUCAAUGUUGCUUAUACUAUGACUACUGGUUCAUAUGAUGCCAUUUUUAUAAAUAUCUAUGCCAAAUUUAAUGAAAUAGACUUGAAAAUGUGUGUCGCCAGGUACCAAGUAAGAAAAAAAUCAGCAUUUUUAUGUAGGGUCUUCACACAGUAAAAUUAUUUGUCCCCAAAUAAUAAUAGAUAAAUGCAUAUUAGGUUUCAAUGCAGGGUUGGCAUAUUGACCGGUCAAUUGAGUAUUGACCGGGCCGGCAGUCAAUACCCGGUUAAAACCGGUCAAUACUGGUCAUUACUGGUCUUUACUGGUCGAUUAAAAAUUGUAGCAUUUAAACAUUACAAAGGAGCCAUUUUAUAUUAAAUCAAUAAUUAUUCUGUAAUUGAUAAACUUUUUUCUGAGUUA